ensembl:lncRNA
CCGUAGAGUAUUUCUCCAGAGGAACAUACCUGCAGAAAUGAAAUCAUGGUUUAUAUCUUUUCAAUGUCAAUUUAAAAAGUAUAGUGUGCUAUCUGGAUUUUCUGAAGGUAAUAAUGCCAGAGGAUGGAGAAAGGAAAUAUGCAGCAUGCAGUUCUGUAGCAUUAAAAAAAAAUCCAACUACAAGACAACCAAUUAAAUGAAAUUCAAAAAUGAUUUAUGACAUUUCUGAUAGACUAAUCAUAUCCCAGUACCCUAAAUACAGUGAUACAGACCCAUUAUUUAUUAAUAAUCCCUUUCCAAAUCUUGUACCACAGAGGGGCACAAUGUAUUUAUUGUGUUUGAUAACUGAUUUUCACUUUACAUUCAGAAGAACAUUCAACAGAAGAGGGCUAGGAAAGUCACUGGAGGGAACAAGUACAAAAAACAUUUUUGUUUAAAGACUACAUUUUGUGAAACAGUCAUCUUGUUAAGGCAAAAUAAUUGCUGACCAAGUUUAUGCUCCCCUUCAGUCAGUCUAUGUGCUUUUAAACUACAACUAUCUUAUGUCAAACAGCAAAAUAUUGCUACAACUAUACACUUAUUUUAAAUGCCACUUCCCUUUUCCUGCAAAGAUCAGUUAACAUUGGCCAAGAAAACCAGCGUGUGUGUAGAGAUUUUUAUAGAUCUAUACGGAUAAAAUUUCAACAGAAUAUGUAGGAUAUAACCCCUUUCGUAUCUCUGGAUUUGGCUGCAUUUUCCCUAUUCAGUGGAAUUAUCUUGUUCCAGUCAUUUAAAGCUCACAUACUUUACAUAAAAUAUACACAGGAUGCACAAUUUUCUGGAAACGUACCUUGUAAUAAAUACUUCCUAUGAGUUCAGUUCUCCCCUCUUCAAGGGUGGAAUGGUAUUUCAUCCCUCAGCUCAAAAAUGGUAUGUUUUGCAAAUACACAAUUUAGGGAUAAUAAUUAAUACAAAUACCAUUUGCAUAGGGUCACUGUCCUUUUUCUUUUUAAUUCAACAAGUUGCAUUUUCUGAGGCAGAUGUUAUGUUCCAAACAGACUGUCUUAUAAAAGCCAUCCCUAUUUGGCAUGUGCCAAAAUCCCAAGCUGAGUGGCCUUUAAAUCUCUCAUGAAAACAAAUGACGAAUCCUUCUAGCCAAGAAUACUACACAAUUAAUACUCAAUGGUCUUAGAAAAUCUUAACCUUUAUUUGCCUGUUUAUAUUAGUGCUCCUCUCAUUUCUUUGCCCCAGUAUACUAGUUGGAUCAACAGAUUUCCCCAUAAACAUUUCAGUCAAAAAGGAUCUCUCUCAGCUGGCCAUCUUUGGAACUGUACUGUGUAGCCUGGAUGUAGGCAAACUCUCUUAGGCUUUGAAGCGUGGGUUUUCGAUAUUUGAAAAGCACAGUAAUACUGUAUACAGAAAAUGGCAUUCAAUAGCCUUGCCUUUUUAAACAAACAUUUUCAACUGCAAAUUCAUCUAUUUUCACAAUCAGAACAUUUUUGUCUGAAAAGUUUAUUUUAGUUUUCUGAACACUCUAAAGCAACCGUGCUUUAGAUGUUACAUAAGUGUCCAGAUAGGAUUAAACAAAAAUUAAAAUGUUCUAAAUUACAAAUGUUAACUCCUGUAAGAGCUUCAGAAAGGAAACAGACCAGAAAGGAGGACAUACACACAUUGUGAGGAAACCCCAAAGUUUCAUGCAAUGGCAGGCAAGAUGUAAAAAGCCACCCAAAUUCACACAUUUGUACACCAAAUCAUCAGAAAAAAGUACUCUGUAGUAAAUCUGUACAUCCAAAUACAUUUGGGAUCUACACCUAAGUUACAUUAUUUAAUGUUAUAUACACUUAUUACCACUUUAUAAUGUCUUAAGGAAAGCCUUCAUUCAAACCCAAACCAAAAAAAAUACUAACUUUGGAAAAAAAGGAGAAUCACUUUAGACAUUCAGUUAAAACGCUGGUUUUGUUUUAAUCUAGACCUCAAAACGUUUAAUAAAAACAAACAGCAUCCUCUUCA